AUUGAACGCUGGCGGCAUGCUUUACACAUGCAAGUCGAACGGUAACAGGGUGCUUGCACCGCUGACGAGUGGCGAACGGGUGAGUAAUGCAUCGGAACGUGCCCAGUCGUGGGGGAUAACGCAGCGAAAGCUGCGCUAAUACCGCCUACGAUCUCUGGAUGAAAGCGGGGGACCGAAAGGCCUCGCGCGAUUCGAGCGGCCGAUGUCAGAUUAGGUAGUUGGCGGGGUAAAGGCCCACCAAGCCAACGAUCUGUAGCUGGUCUGAGAGGACGACCAGCCACACUGGGACUGAGACACGGCCCAGACUCCUACGGGAGGCAGCAGUGGGGAAUUUUGGACAAUGGGCGCAAGCCUGAUCCAGCAAUGCCGCGUGCAGGAAGAAGGCCUUCGGGUUGUAAACUGCUUUUGUACGGAACGAAACGGCUCUGGUUAAUACCUGGGGCUAAUGACGGUACCGUAAGAAUAAGCACCGGCUAACUACGUGCCAGCAGCCGCAGUAACAC
rnacentral:rRNA from 1 species